rnacentral:ncRNA from 2 species
AACUGCUUGACGGGGUGCCGGUGAAUCCGGCUGAGAUGGCGCAGGGCGUAUCUACGUGAUACUGCCAAAGCGCUGGUCCCGCUGAACCUGAUCCGGCUAAUGAGCUGCUCAUAUAAAGAGCAGCACGGGUACCGGCGUAGGGAUCAAGCGAUGGCCAUGG